CUCCGGGAUGAUUCGCCGCAGAGGGGAGAUCAAGCAGGGUCAAUGAACCCGGUGCGGCUGGACGUCGGGCUCUUCGACCAUUGACGAACUACAGAUCCGGACAGUGAUCGACCUGUUGGGUGGACCGAACCCGGCGCAACGUCCCCUCCGCAACGCAGCGCCAUUACACCGGCAAAGCGGUAUUGCUACAAUCCCCACACAAAGACGGCAGUAACAUUAUGGGCUUGCUGGCAAAGGCUCCGGUACCACAGGUUACAACGGAAGGGACACUCCUGGAACCCUCAGCUUGCAAGUUUGUCUUUAAGCACCACAUUACCUUCCAGUUACAACAACAGAUGAGCAGAACAUUAGCGCUGGUAGCGCAGUGGUUACAGCUGCUGCCUU